AUCCCCACAAAAUGGCUACUGGCGGGCAGCAGGCAACAUAUUAUGCCAAAAACAAUAUCUUGAAGAACCUCUAAUGCGUGAUACCUGCCCGCCAGAUUGGAGUGCGUUUACUUACAAACAAUGCCCCAAAAACAUCAUAAUGCUGUUGGUGGGGCAGACAGGACAUGGAAAGAGCGCCACCGAAAACAGCAUUCUUGGCAAGAAGGCAUUUGCAUCCAAGCUAUCACCUGCAUCCGUUACAGAAGAGCUUUAACUAGCGUUCGCUAUGAGGAAUGGGCGUCCCAUUGAAAUUGUUGAUAGUCCGGGUUUUGCUGAUACAUCGAAAGGCAUUGACUAUGUAAAUGACAAUCUUGUCGAAGAUGUCUACCAAACGCUUCCUGGGUUUAAUGCAAGUGUAUUCAACUUGUCUCCAGAUAGGUUUACUGAUGAACUGGUUAACACCGUUAAUCUUUUCUUUGACUUCUUUGGAGAAGUGGUCGGAACAUUUUCCUUCAUUCUUUUUACACACAUAAAAUCAAAAGAGAAAUUGAACGAAUACAUAACAAAACGAGAAAACCCCAACGAAUUAUGUGCAGGUUCUUUUGCACUUGAUAGAAAGGUGCGGAAGCAAGGUCAUUUACAUCGACACUGACAAAAAGAAGGAAAGGAAGGAAGUAAUGGAAGAUGUGAUAAUUCGUACUAUUGACGCGAACACAGUGCGGACAGGACAGCAAUAUUUCACCAAGGAUAUGACUAAAAAGUUAAACAAUUUGCAGAUAAAUAUAUUGAAUAAAAAUCCGACCAAAGACCGUGAGAGUUAUAAUGAUAAUGACAGAGUUAAUACAAGACAUCAGUUAGAUGAUAACAAACCCGAGAAAGAUGAGACUGAUGAUGACAUUUCAGAAGGAAAUGGACGAGUAUUAAGAAUGAAAGAACGAAUAGAAAGUAGAAGUACUUCAAUGCAAAAUCAUGGGACAUCAUACAUUAACCCUGAUGGCGUCCGAAGGCUUGCGAACAAACAGCAACACAAAAUCAAAACACUCUUGAAGAAAUGCAUAUUUUUGGAAGUGACCCUGAAAUAACACGCAAAAGUCGAAUUUCAUGAGAGUUUUUAUAAGAUCAUGAUAAGAAACUACUCGAUGGCAGGACACGUAAAGAUUCUGAGCAACAAUCUGCAAUGGCAAGUGACAUAGAAACGGAGCACGGAGAAGGCAAACAAGUAUCAGGAAGAAAAUACGAUCGAUUGAAAGAAGAUGUCAAAAACGAUAGGGUGUAUAUGAACUUGCACGUGGAGUCUUUGAACGUGCAUGGGGUGGCUUUGAACAAUGGAUGCAAAAAUUGAAACAAUUUUUUGACGGUUGAACGGCAUGUUAAUAAAGCAAAAACAAAUAGGCGAAUAGUGAACGCAUUAUUUGUUUUACUACAUUAAUAAAAGAUAAGCGAGUUUAAAUCUAAAAAUUCGAAUAUUAUGUCUAGUUGUAGGUUUGUCAGCCAUUUUAAUUAAAAGAUAAGGACUUUUAUAAUAAAAUAUUUUGUGUAAUCUUAUUAUCCGCAUAUAUGUGACAUAUUGCACCCUUUUAUAAAAAAUAUUAAAACCUUAAUUAUGUGUAAUGUAAUCUCAUCAUAUAUUGCUUA